CCAAAUCACGACAUGGAAAUAUGAAGUAUUUUACAUUGGCGUUUUACUAAUAACGGCAGAUUGAGAAACCAUAGAGCCCAAAUUUUUGAGUCGAGAUUACACAGCAUAAAUAGAAAUAACGAGAAGAUAUCACGUACAUUAAGACUUUGGUAAUCUCUAGUCGUAUAAAAAGGAUAAUUUAUUAAAUGACAUAGUUUACACUAAAGGGUCUAAAACGAGCUGUCGUCGUAGCAUUACGUCUCCUCAAUCAAUAUCUAACAAUACAUGGCGACCACGCCAGGAUUUAAACCUGGGAUGUUCAGGGCCGUAGAGAAGAUGCCUUUCUAUAACCGCUAAGUGAUAAUAGAAAAAAUAUAUAGGAGUGACAUGUCCUAUCUAUAAAUUUAUCGCUAAGAUAUGUUAUUGUCAUAAAUAACCGUGUGGUGGACGCCGUCGGCUUCGCACAGCAGCGCCAUAAACUUAGCGAGGCGCGCAAGC
rnacentral:lncRNA from 1 species